rnacentral:lncRNA from 10 species
AGAGGAGGGAGUCCCGGCGGGAGGGCGGGGGAGAGGCUGGCGGGAGGGGGGCUCCACGGAGCUCCAGCCAGGGCCGCGGUUCGCCUGCACGUCACGGCUACUCAAACCCAAGCACGUCCCGAAAGCGGUAUUUUCUGCGUCUGGGAGGUUUUUGCAUCCUCAGUUCCCACCGCUGGGGCUGGCGGCGACCAACUGUAAGAGAAACUCACUGGGAGGCGAGGCAGGGGGGUGCGGAGGAUGGGAAGGCGACUCUGAAGGGUGGGAAGUGAAUGCUGGACUUGAUCGUCUUUCUCUUUCUUUCAGCGCAGACCUGUCGCAGCCAGAGAGCUGUCAUUUCAGUACCGGGAUUCAGAAUUGAUCCAGUCCGCAGCGGAGGGGGCACAUCCCAGCUACCGAGCUGCUGAGUGUCUCUGGCUGGAACAAUAGUAUUUUUUUCUCUGCGAGGCUGCAAUUAACAUCUUAUUUGUUCUGGCUCCAUACAGGCUUUGUCAGGAUCGCGGUGCGGCGACCGACGUUGGGCUCUUGCAUUGCUUUGUGCUUGGCAAUGGAAUCAUGGUUUCGGGGUCUAAACUUUUGUUUCGUUUUGUAGUCUUAAUGUAUCUGAUUCUUUUUCAAGUUUCCCUAGUAACAGGUUUGGGGACGGGGUGGGAAGAAGCGAGAAAAGGGGUGAAGAGAAAAAACCAGAUUAUAUAGAAAGGAAAAAGGGAAAAGGGAUGUUUCCCCACCUUUUAAUCUAACUAUCUAUCUGUCUGUCUAUCUAUCAUCAUAGAUAGUCAUUUUGCCUCCUGGACAGUUGGCUGACGAAGUGUCUGAUAAACCAGCUUCAGAUACAUGCUACAAAAGGUCAUUCGCCUCCUGAUUAUGUUUCUACUUGUAAACGCAGUUGGUGGUUUGCAAAACAAGUGCUAAAAUAGUGCAGUGAUGUGGUGGGAGGAAACCAUAAUGGGUAAUUCAUAUAAAGUGCUGGAAUCUUCGUAAGGGUGAGUUUCUCGAGCGGCAGGUGAAGUUGAAUAAAGCAAUUUUCCAUCAUUUGUUCCCCUCACUCUUGCAUUUUUUUCCUCCGCUUGUUUCUCUCCCCUGGGGCGAUUAUGGAUAGCCAAGAACACCAUUUUAAAAGAGAUUGAUAGUGAAAACAGGAAGUUUAUGGUCUGUUAUCCACUGGAGUUGUUUGAAAUAUUAAAAUUGGUCCUUUACUUCUUAAUGCAUAUUAAUAGAGUGACCCUCUUCAAGGCUUUCCCGUCUUAAACGAAUGCCUGGGAUAAACACUGUAAGGGGAAACAGUUAAUAAUUCCCCAGCAGGCUUUAACUAUUUUCCCAGUAACAAAUCACCGGCAAGAGAGCAGCCUGGGUGGCAUUUUGGUUUUGUGUCAUUUUGGUUCUUUACAAUAUUUUUUAUUCAUUUAAGGAAAUGUUAAAAGGAAAUAAUUAGGGUUUAUGUCCAGAACAAAUUUUGAAACACCGUUUAAGCAACACAUUUUCUUUUAAAAACAAAGAACAUUGAGCAACACAAAGGAGAAAAACAUUUUAUUUAUUUCAACUUCCCUAGAGAUCGUAAUUAUGAUUUUCGCAAGGCAAUUUGGUCAGUUCUGUUACUUUAUCCAGAGGAAAAAAAAGCAUGACAGAUGUGGAAUAAAAACGGAGGAAAAAAUGCUUUGGAUGGUUUAUACAUAAAAAGGAAAGAAUGUAAUGUGAGGUUCAGUUAUACCUCUAUUUUGCAUCUAGUGAUUUCUCAUAUUAUCUUGUAACACUGAUUUUGAUGUUUCUUAGAAAUUCUUAAAGUCAUGACACAGUGGCAUAAGAAUAACAGCUGAAAGGGACAAUUUAAAAGCCUAAAUCCUAAAUGGAAAGGUUCACUUACUCCCAGGAUCAUUUAUAUUCAAGUAGAAGUCAGGGCAGGGUCAGAAAAGAAAGCCACCCUUAAUAAAGCGCUUCACCCUUCACAUUGUUUCUCAUAACCUUCAUAAAUUGCAGGCUACUGAGCUGGCCUGAUGAUGAUCCUUCUGAGAUAUAUUUAUAGCAGAUGAUUUGUGGAUGAUAACUACGCCAAGCAAGACACUGUCUCCAGUAACCCCAGGCUCGUCUGACUUCCUCAGGGGAUUAUAAUAAAGAAUCACAAAAAGAACCCUAUAUGGACAGUCUGGUCUCUGGACACUAACAACAGCACAAUCCAAAGGCAAAGAAAGGAGGAACCACCUUGUUUCAUGUCUGCAAGCUGCUCCAUAUGAAAGCAUUGCUGACAUGUUGACCCAACAGCAAAAAGAGAGCAGCAGUUUACACACCCUCAGCUCUCUGUCCUUUCCUUUCUAUUGAUGUUGGUCCACUUUUAUGACUGAAUACAUAUUAAAAUCACCAUUUCAAAUUAUAA